rnacentral:lncRNA from 1 species
CACAAGAUAAGGUGGGUGGCGCAUGCAUUAGUUGGUUGCCCAUUCAAAUUCAAACAUCCUUUGAAUUUGAAUGGCCAACUAACUUAUUUUUAUCCAGAUAAUUGGUGCACAAGGGUGGGCAUGGGAUGCCUUCUGCAUGGGAGAAAAUUCAUGAGAAGUUGCUUCUCAUGAAUUCAAAUGGAUGCAGAGAAGUGAGGUGGCGCAGGGAGUUGAAUUCAAAAGGUGGUUUGAUCAUAAUUGAACCAACCUAAUCAAAAUAGGUUAAGAACAAUUAGACUAAGUUAAACCUAACUUAAUUAGGCUUAUUUAGUCUCAAUAAAAUCCUAAUAAAAUCAAGAAUUAACUAAGCCCAACUCCUGAUC